rnacentral:rRNA from 1 species
AGACAGAGGGUGCGAACGUUGUUCGGAAUUACUGGGCGUAAAGCGCGUGUAGGCGGCUAUGCAAGUCGGGUGUGAAAGCCCUGGGCUUAACCGAGGAAGUGCACUCGAAACUGCAUAGCUCGAGUCCCGGAGAGGAUGGUGGAAUUCUCGGUGUAGAGGUGAAAUUCGUAGAUAUCGUGAGGAACACCGGUGGCGAAGGCGGCCAUCUGGACGGGUACUGACGCUGAGACGCGAAAGCGUGGGUAGCAAACAGGAUUAGAAACCCCAGUAGUCC